rnacentral:rRNA from 1 species
UACGUAGGAAGCGAGCGUUGUCCGGAUUUACUGGGCGUAAAGGGCGUGUAGGCGGAGCGGCGCAUCCCGGAGUAAAUCUAUCGGCUCAACUGAUAGGCUUUCUGGGAGAUGGCCGCCCUUGAGGACAGCAGAGGAAAGUGGAAUUCCCGGUGUAGCGGUGGAAUGCGUAGAGAUCCGGAAGAACACCGGUGGCGAAGGCAGCUUACUGGGCUGUAACUGACGCUGAUGCACGAAAGUGUGGGGAUCAAACAGG